rnacentral:sRNA from 1 species
GCGACGCGGCGGCGCGCCCCACGUGGCGUC